AAAUUGAAGAGUUUGAUCAUGGCUCAGAUUGAACGCUGGCGGCAGGCCUAACACAUGCAAGUCGAACGGUAACAGGAAACAGCUUGCUGUUUCGCUGACGAGUGGCGGACGGGUGAGUAAUGUCUGGGAAACUGCCUGAUGGAGGGGGAUAACUACUGGAAACGGUAGCUAAUACCGCAUAACGUCGCAAGACCAAAGAGGGGGACCUUCGGGCCUCUUGCCAUCGGAUGUGCCCAGAUGGGAUUAGCUAGUAGGUGGGGUAACGGCUCACCUAGGCGACGAUCCCUAGCUGGUCUGAGAGGAUGACCAGCCACACUGGAACUGAGACACGGUCCAGACUCCUACGGGAGGCAGCAGUGGGGAAUAUUGCACAAUGGGCGCAAGCCUGAUGCAGCCAUGCCGCGUGUAUGAAGAAGGCCUUCGGGUUGUAAAGUACUUUCAGCGGGGAGGAAGGGAGUAAAGUUAAUACCUUUGCUCAUUGACGUUACC
rnacentral:rRNA from 3 species